rnacentral:rRNA from 1 species
UACGAAGGGGGCUAGCGUUGCUCGGAAUCACUGGGCGUAAAGGGUGCGUAGGCGGGUCUUUAAGUCAGGGGUGAAAUCCUGGAGCUCAACUCCAGGACUGCCUUUGAUACUGAAGAUCUUGAGUCCGGGAGAGGUGAGUGGAACUGCGAGUGUAGAGGUGAAAUUCGUAGAUAUUCGCAAGAACACCAGUGGCGAAGGCGGCUCACUGGCCCGGUACUGACGCUGAGGCACGAAAGCGUGGGGAGCAAACAGG